rnacentral:rRNA from 1 species
UACGUAAGGUGCGAGCGUUAAUCGGAAUUACUGGGCGUAAAGCGUGCGCAGGCGGUUCGUUAAGUUCGUUGUGAAAGCCCCGGGCUCAACCUGGGAACUGCAAUGGAAACUGGCGGGCUUGAGUGUGGCAGAGGGGGGUGGAAUUCCGCGUGUAGCAGUGAAAUGCGUAGAGAUGCGGAGGAACACCGAUGGCGAAGGCAGCCCCCUGGGCCAACACUGACGCUCAGGCACGAAAGCGUGGGGAGCAAACAGG